rnacentral:rRNA from 1 species
CCCGGGCGACCGGCGCACGGGUGAGUAACACGUAUGCAACCUGGCCGUGACAGAUGGAUAACCGGGAGAAAUCCCGCCUAAUACAACAUAAUGCCGGGAGGGGACAUCCCCUGCCGGUCAAAGGGGGCGACCCCGGUCAUGGAUGGGCAUGCGGCGCAUUAGGUAGUUGGUGGGGCAACGGCCCACCAAGCCGACGAUGCGUAGGGGUUCUGAGAGGAAGGUCCCCCACAUUGGAACUGAGACACGGUCCAAACUCCUACGGAAGGCAGCAG